rnacentral:piRNA from 1 species
UGGAUCAUUUCUACCCUCUGAAGAGGUACACC